CGGGUGAGUAACACGUAUCCAACCUGCCGUCUACUCUUGGCCAGCCUUCUGAAGGAAGAUUAAUCCAGGAUGGGAUCAUGAGUUCACAUGUCCGCAUGAUUAAAGGUAUUUUCCGGUAGACGAUGGGGAUGCGUUCCAUUAGAUAGUAGGCGGGGUAACGGCCCACCUAGUCAACGAUGGAUAGGGGUUCUGAGAGGAAGGUCCCCCACAUUGGAGCUGAGACACGGUCCAA
rnacentral:rRNA from 1 species